rnacentral:rRNA from 1 species
AACGCUGGCGGCGUGCUUCAUACAUGCAAGUCGAACGAGAAGCUGACUUCGGUCAGUGGAAAGUGGCGGACGGGUGAGUAAUAUGUAGGAAAUCUGCCCUAGAGAGGGGGACAACAGAGGGAAACUUCUGCUAAUACCCCAUAUGAGCUUAGUUGAAAUACUAAUCUUGAAAACUCCGGUGCUCUAGGAUGAGCCUGCAUCUGAUUAGCUAGUUGGCGGUGUAAUGGACCACCAAGGCGACGAUCAGUAGCUGGUUUGAGAGGAUGAUCAGCCACAAUGGGACUGAGACACGGCCCAUACUCCUACGGGAGGCAGCAGUAGGGAAUUUUGCGCAAUGGGCGAAAGCCUGAACCGCAGCAACGCCGCGUGAACGAUUAAGCCCUUCGGGGUGUAAAGUUCUGUCAGUGGGGACGAAACUUGACGGUACCCACAGAGGAAGCACCGGCUAACUCCGUGCCAGCAGCAGC